GACUACUGGGGUAUCUAAUCCCAUUUGCUACCCUAGCUUUCGUCUCUCAGUGUCAGCAAUGGUCCAGUAAAGCGCUUUCGCCACAGGUGUUCUUCCCAAUAUCUACGCAUUUCACCGCUACACUGGGAAUUCCCUUUACCCCUACCAUGCUCUAGCUUGUCAGUUUCCACUGCUUUUCUGAGGUUAAGCCUCAGUCUUUAACAGCAGACUUGAUAGGCCACCUGCGGACGCUUUACGCCCAAUAAUUCCGGAUAACGCUUGCCUCCUCCGUCUUACCGCGGCUGCUGGCACGGAGUUAGCCGAGGCUGAUUCCUCAGGUACCGUCAUUGUGUUCUUCCCUGAGAAAAGGGGUUUACAACCCAAAGGCCGUCCUCCCCCACGCGGUAUUGCUCCGUCAGGGUUGCCCCCAUUGCGGAAUAUUCCCCACUGCUGCCUCCCGUAGGAGUCUGGGCCGUGUCUCAGUCCCAGUGUGGCUGAUCGUCCUCUCAAACCAGCUACUGAUCGUUGCCUUGGUAGUCUUUUAUCCUACCAACUAGCUAAUCAGCCGCGAGCUCUUCCUUAGGCAGAAAUCUUUUUCACCUCUCGGCAUAUGGGGUCUUAGCAGCCGUUUCCAGCUGUUAUUCCCCUCCUAAGGGUAGAUUCUCACGCGUUACUCACCCGUCCG
rnacentral:rRNA from 1 species